rnacentral:rRNA from 1 species
CCUACGGGAGGCAGCAGUGGGGGAUAUUGCACAAUGGGGGAAACCCUGAUGCAGCGACGCCGCGUGUGGGAAGACGGUCCUCUGGAUUGUAAACCACUGUCCCCAGGGACGAAGAUGACGGUACCUGGGGAGGAAGCUCCGGCUAACUACGUGCCAGCCGCCGCGGUAAUACGUAGGGAGCGAGCGUUGUCCGGAAUUACUGGGUGUAAAGGGUGCGUAGGUGGUUUGACAAGUUAGUAGCGCAACUCCGGAGCUCAACUUCGGAACUACUACUAAAACUGUUGGACUUGAGUGCAGGAGGGGCAAUCGGAAUUCCUAGUGUAGCGGUGGAAUGCGUAGAUAUUAGGAGGAACACCAGUGGCGAAGGCGGAUUGCUAGACUGUAACUGACACUGAGGCACGAAAGCGUGGGGAGCAAACAGGAUUAGAUACCCCUGUAGUC